GCCAGCGUGGUGGAAUGGCAGACACGGCAGACUCAAAAUCUGCUGGGGGCAACCCUGUGAGAGUUCAAGUCUCUCCGCUGGCA
rnacentral:tRNA from 1 species